AUUGAACGCUGGCGGCAUGCUUUACACAUGCAAGUCGAACGGUAACAGGCCGCAAGGUGCUGACGAGUGGCGAACGGGUGAGUAAUGCAUCGGAACGUGCCCAGUCGUGGGGGAUAACGCAGCGAAAGCUGCGCUAAUACCGCAUACGAUCUAUGGAUUAAAGCGGGGGACCGUAAGGCCUCGCGCGAUUGGAGCGGCCGAUGUCAGAUUAGGUAGUUGGUGGGGUAAAGGCUCACCAAGCCGACGAUCUGUAGCUGGUCUGAGAGGACGACCAGCCACACUGGGACUGAGACACGGCCCAGACUCCUACGGGAGGCAGCAGUGGGGAAUUUUGGACAAUGGGCGCAAGCCUGAUCCAGCAAUGCCGCGUGCAGGAAGAAGGCCUUCGGGUUGUAAACUGCUUUUGUACGGAACGAAACGGUCCUGGUUAAUACCCGGGGCUAAUGACGGUACCGUAAGAAUAAGCACCGGCUAACUACGUGCCAGCCGCCGCAGUAACAC
rnacentral:rRNA from 1 species